GAUGAACGCUGGCGGCGUGCCUAAUACAUGCAAGUCGAGCGAACAGACGAGGAGCUUGCUCCUCUGACGUUAGCGGCGGACGGGUGAGUAACACGUGGAUAACCUACCUAUAAGACUGGGAUAACUUCGGGAAACCGGAGCUAAUACCGGAUAAUAUAUUGAACCGCAUGGUUCAAUAGUGAAAGACGGUUUUGCUGUCACUUAUAGAUGGAUCCGCGCCGCAUUAGCUAGUUGGUAAGGUAACGGCUUACCAAGGCGACGAUGCGUAGCCGACCUGAGAGGGUGCUCGGCCACACGGGAACUGGGACACGGUCCAGACUCCUACGGGAGGCAGCAGUAGGGAAUCUUCCGCAGUGGGCGAAAGCCUGACGGAGCAACGCCGCGUGAGUGAUGAAGGUCUUCGGAUCGUAAAACUCUGUUAGUAGGGAAGAACAAAUGUGUAAGUACCUAUGCACGUCUUGACGGUACCUAAUCAGAAAGCCACGGCUAACUACGUG
rnacentral:rRNA from 1 species